ACACAUAGGGGGCAAGCGUUGUCCGGAAUCACUGGGCGUAAAGCGCACGUAGGCGGAUUAUUAAGUCAGGUGUGAAAACUCUGGGCUCGACCCGGAGACUGCAUCUGAAACUGGUAAUCUUGAGUGUAGAAGAGGAGAGUGGAAUUCCUAGUGUAGCGGUGAAAUGCGUAGAUAUUAGAAGGAACACCAGUGGCGAAGGCGACUCUCUGGUCUAUAACUGACGCUGAGGUGCGAAAGCGUGGGGAGCAAACAGGAUUAGAUCCCCUGGUAGUCCACGCCGUAAACGAUGGGUACUUGGUGUUGGGGGUAUCGACUCCCUCAGUGCCGGAGUUAACACAUUAAGUACCCCGCCUGGGGAGUACGUUCGCAAGAAUGAAACUCAAAGGAAUUGACGGGG
rnacentral:rRNA from 1 species